GCGCCGAUGGUAGAGUGGUCAAAUACGGCACGCUGUAAACGUGCUGCCUUCGGGCUUCGGGGGUUCGAAUCCCUCUCGGCGCACUA
rnacentral:tRNA from 1 species